ensembl:snRNA U6 U6 spliceosomal RNA
GUGCUCAAUUCAGCAGCACAUACACUAAAAUUGGAACAAUACAGAGAAGAUUAGCAUGGUCCCUGUGCAAGUAUGACACGCAAAUUCGUGAAGCGCUCCACAUUUUU